CUCUUAUGUAGAAUAUAAAUACGUCGUAGUCAGCCGUACUGUAUUGCCAAAGAGAAGCAGAGAAACGUAUUGUUGGUUGUACUGCUAUUGUAAUUCUGAUUUACAAAGAUGAACUCGAAAGCUUUGCUUAUCCUGCUGUGUCUGUUCUCGCUGAUGAUUGCAGACUACUCUGUCCAAGGCGCAAGUUCUUGUAGGACACGUACUGGCUGCUCAUGGUGCGGAUCGAGCUGCAGGAUGAGGGGAUACCGGUCUGGAACCUGCAGAUAUUCAUUUUUUUGCCCAAGAAGAAGGAGAUACUCUUGCAGAUGUUCUGGGAGAACUGGUUGAUGUAAAAAAAAACUUUUUUGAAUUCAAACAAUAAAAUGAAAGUAAUGCAGAUAUCGAAA